AUUGAACGCUGGCGGCAUGCCUUACACAUGCAAGUCGAACGGCAGCACGGGAGCAAUCCUGGUGGCGAGUGGCGAACGGGUGAGUAAAGUAUCGGAACGUGCCCAGUCGUGGGGGAUAACGUAGCGAAAGUUACGCUAAUACCGCAUACGAUCUAUGGAUGAAAGCGGGGGAUCGCAAGACCUCGCGCGAUUGGAGCGGCCGAUAUCAGAUUAGGUAGUUGGUGGGGUAAGGGCUCACCAAGCCGACGAUCUGUAGCUGGUCUGAGAGGACGACCAGACACACGGGGACUGGGACCCGGCCCAGACUCCUACGGGAGGCAGCAGUGGGGAAUUUUGGACAAUGGGCGCAAGCCUGAUCCAGCAAUGCCGCGUGCAGGAUGAAGGCCUUCGGGUUGUAAACUGCUUUUGUACGGAACGAAAAGGUUUGGCUUAAUACGUUGAACUCAUGACGGUACCGUAAGAAUAAGCACCGGCUAACUACGUGCCAGCCGCCGCCGUAA
rnacentral:rRNA from 1 species